UCAGCCACCACGCUGCGGCCCCCCUCUCUCACUCUGCUUCUCUCUCUCUUUUCAUUUUGCCGUCUCUGCCCCUCAGCCAUCCCCUUCAGUCUUCGUUGCCCCUCUCGCUGCUCUUUGUUUUUCACUUCUCCCUGCUCUUUGUCUCUGCAGCCUCCUGCUCUCCCCUCUCUGCAACCUUCCGCUCUCUCGCUCUAGAAAUCCCCAAACGAAAUACCCAUUUUUCCAUUUCUUUCCGUCCCUUUUCGUUUCGCUCACUUUCCCAUUUCUUUUCGUUUCGUUCAACCUUCCUCACCCAAAGCAGCUCCUCAUGUAUUUCCCGCUCUCUACGCCUAAUAACCUAACAACAAGCUUCUCCUUUUUUUUAAACCAAUUGAUUCAUUGUUUUUGUUUUUCACUUAAUCCUACCCAUCCCAUUCAUUUCACCUUAAGCUAUUUUAUUAUAUUUCUCCACUUAUUUUAUCAUAUUUUCCAUAUCAUAUUUUAUCUUAUUUUCUUCUUUUAUUUUAUUUUACUUUAAUUUACUUUAUUUUAUUUACUUCUUGUAUUUUUAUUUUUGUUUACCUUAUUUUAUUUCUUGCACUCUAUUCAUUUUAGUUCACUUUACCUUAUCUUAUUUUAUUUUACGUUUUUAUUCUAUUUUACCUCAUUCUAUUUCAUUCUUAUUACCUCUUUCAUUUUAUUUUGCUUUACUCAUUUUAUUUUAUACCAUUUAUGUUACCUCGUUUAUUUUAUUUUAUUUUGUUUACUUUAUUUCAUCUUAUUUUACCGUACUUCAUUUUAUUCACCAGCUUUAUUUUCCUUUGUUUUAAUUUUCUAUCCCUCCCACUUUAUUUUAUCUUAAUUCAUCCCCUUUAUUUUUAUUUCACUUCACUUCAUUUUCAUCUUAUCCAUUUUACUUUUAUUUCAUUUUCCACAAGUCUAGGUCUUCAAAUCCGUUUGUUUGGACACGUUACGUUUAUGUGUGUGCAGGAACGCAGAAAAACAAGUCAAGGGAGUUGAUUCGGAACCGGCCUCAAGCCAGGGAGCAUUCUUCGUGAUCUAAGAGGGCGCUCAUGCAUGCAGCUCGAGCGUGUCACGGACCCACGUGAG
rnacentral:lncRNA from 1 species